AGAUGGCAAUCCAUUCAGAAAAUGUACUCUUUGCCUUGGAAAUUAAUGGGCACAGUACAAGAAGAAAUGCAUAUGCACAUAAUAUGUGUACUUCUAAGCCAUUAACAGAUACAGACAUGAGCAAACACAAUAUGUAACCAUCAAGCUUAACAGCAAGGGAAAUCUGACAACCAAAUUUUCAGAGCUGAUUGACCAAGAAAAUAAAAGAAAAACAAUUGCUUGAGGCGAUGGAGGAAGAUCUUUUAAAAAACCAAUUCAAAGGGAAAAAUAUUAGCAAUUGAAUACAUAAUUCCACAAAAAAUACGGCUAUGUACCACAACAACAGGGAAGCUUAGUCAGGAUAUAUUACAAAUGAUGCAAGGAAUCCUAACCAAAAUGAGAUUUAUCCUGCUGUCAUAUGCUUUCCAUAUACUUGGAACAAU
rnacentral:misc_RNA from 1 species